rnacentral:rRNA from 1 species
UACGGGGGGGGCAAGCGUUGUUCGGAAUUACUGGGCGUAAAGGGCGCGUAGGCGGCCAACUAAGUCGGACGUGAAAUCCCCAGGCUCAACCUGGGAACUGCGUCUGAUACUGGAUGGCUUGAAUCCGGGAGAGGGAUGCAGAAUUCCUGGUGUAGCGGUGAAAUGCGCAGAUAUCAGGAGGAACACCGGUGGCGAAGGCGGAUCUCUGGGCCGAUACUGACGCUGGAGGAGCGAAAGCGUGGGGAGCGAACAGG